rnacentral:rRNA from 1 species
AUACGGAGGGUGCAAGCGUUACUCGGAAUCACUGGGCGUGAAGCGCGCGCAGGCGGCUAUUUAAGUUGGAUGUGAAAGCCUACGGCUCAACCGUAGAACUGCAUCCAAAACUAUUUAGCUAGAGUGUGGGAGAGGAAGAUGGAAUUAGUUGUGUAGGGGUAAAAUCCGUAGAGAUAACUAGGAAUACCAAAAGCGAAGGCAAUCUUCUGGAACACUACUGACGCUGAGGCGCGAAAGCGUGGGGAGCGAACAGGAUUAGAUACCCUAGUAGUCC